GUUCUUGAAUUCAACACUUCUCCAUCUCCUCUGACCUGUCUAUAGUCCAAAGUCCCCACCACGUGGCAGAGGGGCGACUGAGACACAAGUCUCCAGCCAGUCUUUCCAGAGAGCAGGAAUGUGAGCAUGGCCCUGCCUCCACCCUGCCCAAACCCUGCCGCCCCUGCUUCCUUACAUGCAGUGUGAACUCCUGCACCAUGGGCUGCCGCUGGCCUUUCUGGCCCUUAGGCCGAUUCCAGCUUCUCCUCCCUCGUCACUGUCACCGCCGCAGCUCUCUGGAUCUGAGGUUGGACCUAAUCUGGGUCCUCUACUUCCAUCCACCUCCUGCCUGUGCUUCCCACCUUUCUUCAUAACACAAGCCAGAAGAAACUUCGACUGACAAGAGCCCAUCCGACUGGCCCGUGGAAAUCAAACUGAACAAGUCAUAAGAACAAGCCAAGAAGCAGUAUGCCUCCGUGGUCUCUGCUUUAGUUCCUGCCCUCACUUCCCGGAAUAACUGACUGCGACUUGGAAGUAUAAAACGAACAACUGUCUCCUGCCCAAGGUGUGCAGUCAAAAUGCCCCCAUGCACACGCACUCCUCACCAGAACCAGUGGAAACAGAAACAACCUUCAUGGCCUGCUCAAGCGCUGCUUCCCUCCAUUCCUCCCAGGCAAGGGCAG